CUCAUGUACAUGUAGCAUGCAUACGCACAAAAAUGUGGUGUACUUCCGUCUCCAUGCCAACGUUCAGAUGUAUCAAAAGUGAAAUGACUGUGGAAAUACAGACCUGUAAA